UACGAAGGGGGCUAGCGUUGUUCGGAUUUACUGGGCGUAAAGCGCACGUAGGCGGCUCGUUAAGUCAGGGGUGAAAUCCUGGAGCUCAACUCCAGAACUGCCUUUGAUACUGGUGAUCUUGAGUCCGGAAGAGGUGAGUGGAACUCCUAGUGUAGAGGUGAAAUUCGUAGAUAUUCGGAGGAACACCAGUGGCGAAGGCGGCUCACUGGUCCGGUACUGACGCUGAGGUGCGAAAGCGUGGGGAGCAAACAGG
rnacentral:rRNA from 1 species